UACGGAGGGUGCAAGCGUUAUCCGGAUUCACUGGGUUUAAAGGGUGCGUAGGCGGGCAGGUAAGUCAGUGGUGAAAUCUCCGAGCUUAACUCGGAAACUGCCGUUGAUACUAUUUGUCUUGAAUAUUGUGGAGGUAAGCGGAAUAUGUCAUGUAGCGGUGAAAUGCUUAGAUAUGACAUAGAACACCAAUUGCGAAGGCAGCUUACUAUGGUUAUAUUGGCACUGAGGCACGAAAGCGUGGGGAUCAAACAGG
rnacentral:rRNA from 1 species